rnacentral:rRNA from 1 species
GAUGAACGCUGGCGGCGUGCCUAAUACAUGCAAGUCGAGCGAACAGACGAGGAGCUUGCUCCUUUGACGUUAGCGGCGGACGGGUGAGUAACACGUGGGUAACCUACCUAUAAGACUGGGAUAACUUCGGGAAACCGGAGCUCAUACCGGAUAAUAUUUCGAACCGCAUGGUUCGAUAGUGAAAGAUGGCUUUGCUAUCACUUAUAGAUGGACCUGCGCCGUAUUAGCUAGUUGGUAAGGUAACGGCUUACCAAGGCAACGAUACGUAGCCGACCUGAGAGGGUGAUCGGCCACACUGGAACUGAGACACGGUCCAGACUCCUACGGGAGGCAGCAGUAGGGAAUCUUGCGCAAUGGGCGAAAGCCUGACGGAGCAACGCCGCGUGAGUGAUGAAGGUCUUCGGAUCGUAAAGCUCUGUUAUUAGGGAAGAACAAACGUGUAAGUAACUGUGCACGUCUUGACGGUACCUAAUCAGAAAGCCACGGCUAACUACGUG